rnacentral:misc_RNA from 1 species
GAUGAAGAACGUAGUGAAAUGCGAUAAGUAAUGUGAAUUGCAGAAUUUAGUGAAUCAUCGAAUCUUUGAACGCACAUUGCGCCCGCCAGUAUUCUGGCGGGCAUGCCUGUUCGAGCGUCAUUACAACCCUCAGGCCCCCGGGCCUGGCGUUGGGGAUCGGCGGAAGCCCCCUGCGGGCACAACGCCGUCCCCCAAAUACAGUGGCGGUCCCGCCGCAGCUUCCAUUGCGUAGUAGCUAACACCUCGCAACUGGAGAGCGGCGCGGCCACGCCGUAAAACACCCAACUUCUGAAUGUUGACCUCGAAUCAGGUAGGAAUACCCGCUGAACUUAAGCAUAUCAAUAAGCGGAGGA